GGUCGAGCAAGGAUGAAAAUCGGACUUAGUGAUCCGGUGGUUCUGCGUGGAAGGGCCAUCGCUCAACGGAUAAAAGCUACCCUGGGGAUAACAGGCUUAUCUCCCCCAAGAGUCCACAUCGACGGGGAGGUUUGGCACCUCGAUGUCGGCUCAUCCCAUCCUGGGGCUGUAGUAGGUCCCAAGGGUUGGGCUGUUCGCCCAUUAAAGUGGUACGCGAGCUGGGUUCAGAACGUCGUGAGACAGUUCGGUCCCUAUCCGUCGCAGGCGUAGGAAAUUUGAGAAGACCUGUCCUUAGUACGAGAGGACCGGGAUGGACGUACCUCUGGUGUACCAGUUGUCCUGCCAAGGGCAUGGCUGGGUAGCUAUGUACGGAAUGGAUAAGCGCUGAAAGCAUCUAAGCGCGAAGCCAACUUCAAGAUAAGAUUUCCCACCGCAAGGGUAAGACCCCAGAAAGACUAUCUGGUUGAUAGGUCGAAGGUGUAAGU
rnacentral:rRNA from 1 species